CCAGCGGUUAGCGUCGCCGGAUCCCUGGAGCUUGGGGCGUCCGGGCGAAGGGCAGCGUUUCAACCGGCGGGGCCCUUACUCUGCAUUGCACGCGCCGUGAGUCUCUGCUGUUAAUUCUUGCACAAAUUUGUAUAGUUUGCACAGAUGGCGCAAAAGGUAGUUAACCCUAGCCGCCCGGCCCUAUGCUGUUAGAGGAUGCAGUCGAUGACCAUGCGCAUGAUUUCAGAAACGUGAUUCGGAUCUACAAUGUUCAGAAAGAGAAUCGUCUGUUGGCAAUUUAUGAUAGGCAUAAUACCGCCGUUUGAUCAUACCUAGGCGAUUACUACUGUUUCGCAGAUUAUUAUGUUUUGUGUACUGCUGCUGCGGAUCAUGUUAUUUAUUUUUAAACGAAAAAUAGAGGGAUGCAGAUUAUGGUAACUGUGAAAGCAGCUAGUGAGCAGGGCAUUUGUCACACUCACUUGACAGCCUUUUCAUUGCAGGCACAUACUAUCCCGAAUGUCACUAAACGAGCUUCUUGGAGCCUGUUUUUCUUUCUUAAAUCGGAAACCACAUUUUUAAUGUUUUGAAAAGGAAAUCCGAGUUUUCGUCCCACCAGUACAUAUACACUACAUACCUGUAGACUUUUAUAAAUAAAUAUGUUUAUUUGAGGGCUACAUGAAAAGGACAAAUAUGUGGAUCUAUAUAGAUGUACUGUCACUGUUAUAGAUCCACACGUUUGUUUUGUUUUUGUGCUGCCCACAAAUGAACAUAUUUUGAACAAAAUUGUGCGUAUACGGUAUAUCUAUAUCACAUCUAGAUGUAUGUGUGUGUUUUAUUUCUGAAGCUUUGAAAUUUCACUUCUAAAAAAAACUGAAAACAAUUUUGGGCAGGCAGCUAAAAUGCCUCUCUCUAAUACACCAUCUCUCGUGCUAACACAUCUGAAGUUAUUAGAGGACUGCAAAAACUUUUGGAAGAAGCACGGCACAAUACCUAGUUGGGUUGCUAAAAGAGAAAGCUAGAUGAUAUGGAUAAUCUACUAAUCGUAAACGAAUUGCUCUUCUGCUGCAUUAAUUGAUCAGCUUUGGAUGAGUAUAUCAAACACACCUAUACUUGGCUGCUUCACUGAAGAAUCAUAUCUCAAGAGGAACAUGAGGUACUAGUAAUGUGUAACUACUGCAGAAGAUAGAAUUCUCUGCCAUUUGUUAUGCAUAAUUUACAUGAGUUUCGGAAUAAAGCUUGUACUUUUCUUGAUGCUAUAUCAGUAUCUGUCUAAAUAUUGUUGUGCAAUCCAGUUUGCCUGAAUAUAAAAACCUUCUAAUAUCUCAUAAUUACAAUUUACAGCAAGCAAUUCUACUGACUGCUAACAUACUCAAAGGAGCUUCUUUAUGGUACAUUGGGCCUUAAAGAUUAAACAUAAGGGCACCUUUCAUCUAAAAUGUACACCUAGUUUGGAACCGGUAGAGGGAGCAGCGAGGCAGUGGAGGCUCUGCUGAUCAUAGGAAGCGAAGCAUGGCACACGGAAAAGAACCAAGCUGUCACUGUCAUGGCGACACACACACACACACACACACAAAAGGGAAAAAAAACUCUAAGAUAUCAUCAUCUUCAAGUCUUGUCAGCUCGUGGUAGGAAAACUAUUUGCAGGACAGUCUUAGGGCUGCCCAAACUGUUGAAUGGUCUGGAUAGAUGGAAUAUGUCUGACCCUUAUAAAAUCAUCACCACCAUCCCCCAAUUUACCAAGAAAGGAGCUUGGCAUGCCCACCAAUCUCAACCUCUGCAAUGUAGCAAGUGACUGGAACCCAGCAGGAAUAGCUGCCAGCUUUGCACAUGACAUGAUCCACACUUCUUGAACACAUGGCAUUGCUCCAUCAACAACAUCCCACCGCUCCAGUUCCUCAAGUUCAGUUAUGAUGAAGAUUUUCAGCUUUAAAAAACCGGAACGGCAGCAUCUCAUUACUUUCCCCUUGUAUGCAUUGUUCAGCUGGAGGAACAUCAGAUUCGGCAAUCGAACAAGAACUGAAAGCGGGUCAUCUUCCAGCUGUGAGAAGCUCAAGCGCAGCUUUGUAAGGUUGUCUAGUUGAGCAAACCAAUUUGGCAAUGUCUGCAAAGAUCCAGCUAGAUUCAGCUUCUGUAGACAUGAAGAAGGUUCCAACAUUGCAAGGUCAAGUGGCCUGGUGCCAUCGCUAGGGAAGAUGGAUAGGUAUGAUAGUUCCUUCAUAUUGUUCACAGAAGAGCAUAGCUCUUUGGCAUCUUCAUUUUUUAAAUCCUCUAUCGAAAGCUUCUUCAGCUGGGUAAGGCUUGCAAUCUCACGAACCACGGCUGUGCUUGCUUGCAACCCAGUUAAUAUCUGGAGUUUGUCAAGCUGAUUAAAUCCUAUCGGGAUCUGGAUGCAUUGGUCAUCUUGUUUCAUCUCUAGAUGCCGUAGAUUUCUUAAACAUUUGAUUUGAAACGUGAUUCGCUUUAUCUGAGUCUUCCUGAUAUCAAGAGUUUGCAAGUGAUAGAGCUUGUUCAUUGUUCUUGGGAGCUUCUUCAACUUCGUUCCCCUUAGUCCAAGGUACCUCAAGUGAACUAAGCCUCCGAUCUCUUUUGGAAGUUCUAGCAUGUUACCAUCUUCAAAAUCCAGAAUUCUUACCAGACCAAAGCUCCUUGAAAUAACAUUGCAUUUAAUUGCAGUUGGUGCACUGUUGUUGAACAUGAAAACAGACCGCAAUCUUUUCUUGCGUUCAUUGCUGAAUGAUACAUGAGGCAUUUGCAGGGAUACGCGCCGAUCACUAACACUUGGGCCUUUAUCAGCGCAGAUGAUGGAAAAUUUCUCAUUUUCAGACAGCCAAAUGGCAAGAUCGUGAAGAAGAUCAUGAACUCUGCAUGCUUUUACUCUCCCACUGAUGCUUGCCGUUGCCACUUCUACCAUGCUUUUGUUGAUCAGCUCCGCGAGGUACUUCUCUGCAGUAAUUUCAAGUGUCUCAUCAGCCUUUUCUUUCACAAACCCUUCGGCAAUCCAUAACCGAACUAAUUUCUUUCGGGAGAUCUGUGACUUAUAUGGGAUUACAGAGAGCAGCAUAAAACAUGGCUUCAAAGGGUGUGGGAGGUCCCUAUAACUUGAUAGCAGUGUCUGCUGAAUUCCCAUUUGACCAUUGCUUAGAUCCUUCUGAAUGCUUGCCAGGACACUUUUCCACUCAGUAUCUGUUUGUUCUUUCCCGGACAUCAUACUCCCUGCAGCAACAAUAGCAAGAGGCAAACCAACACAUUUCUUCACAAUGUCCUCAGCAGUUUCCUUUACAGCGUCCGGACAUAUUCCAUCCUGCAAGAAUGCCUUUUUGCAAAACAAAUUCCAGGAAUCUUCAAAUGGCAAUGGCUGAAGCUGCUGUACAGUGCUCUUUGCGCCUUCAACUGAGCCAGCCACAGCGGCAUUACGAGUUGUCACAAGCACUCGGCUUCCGCUGCAAUUUCUGGGCAGUACUAGCUUGAUGAUAUCCCACAACCCUCUGUCCCAGACAUCAUCAAACACAAGCAGAAACUUUUUACAGCCAAGGCCACUCAAGAGCAAUUCUUGGAGCCGCUUCUCGCAGAGGGAGCUCGCCUCUGCAGAGGGGAUCCUCAUCAGCCCCUUGACCAUCUCACAGAGGAUAGAGCGCAGCUCCAUCGUUUUCGACACAUAGAUCCACGCACAGCAUUCGAAAUGCUUCUUCACGUCUGGGUUGGUGUACGCCUUCUUGGCAAGUGUGGUCUUCCCAACACCUCCCAUGCCAACCAAGGAUAUGACACUUAGCUCCGACUCCAAACCUCCAUCCAAGAUAUGCCGAAGCAACACAUCCAGAUAUUUAUCCAGGCCUACAACAUCUAUGUCAUGAACCAUCGGAGAUGAGGCUAAAAGACCAUGGAUCCACUUAUCACUUGAUUCUCUAGGUCUUUCAACUGCAUACUCCAGUCGGCGACGGGAGAUGUCACUCAGCUGAGCCCGGAUGCGCCUGAUCCGAGCCCCGACGUCAUGCCUCGAUCUCAGCUUACCAAGAACACAGCAGCCUUGUACUUGGCUGGCGUCGAAGAUGUCGAUGGCGUCCUCCGAGUCGGACAUGAUGUCCCUCAUCUGGUCAAUCCAUGCUUCUCUGGCGACGCCGCCCUCAAUGCUGCAAACCUCCAUCUCGUGAAGGAAGAGCUGCAUGCUGUGGAGCUCAUCACGGAGCCAUCCGACAUCACGACUUACGGACCAGAGGCGCCGGCCAUGGUCGGUUGCUCUGCUGCUAAGCAGGGAGCCUAAGACAUGGAUCAAAGAAGCAAGCACGGGUUCGGCCAUGGAAAUGCUGGUCUUCCUUUCUGUUGUUGGAGAAGGAAGGGGGAAGCUCGGUAGUCGCUACCAAUUUUCUGGUAGGAAGUCGAGGUCAAUGGGCAGUGCUGUACCACUGAUUAGAAGAUACUUUCAACCACUUGAUGCCCAACUGAGAUCCUUGGGCCCACUGGCAGUUCCUCUGCAAUCUGGGUCAACUAUUCCUGAUCAACCGUGCAUAAUUUCCCAGAAGCUAGAUGCAUAAAACGAUGCUUGACCAACUGGACAAAUCUUAAGCCAACAAAUGAGCAGCCCGCGACCCGGAGCUUGAUAGGAUCCAUAUGUUCCCCUAUUCGUAAAGAAAGUAAAAAAGCAAAACACAGUAAACAGUUUCACAUCCUUGCUACAUGAAGUCACAUUUCAGUUCAGUUAAGACCUACUAGGUGGCAGAACGGUGCUGCUUUUUUUCUGGGGAAACAUAUGUGCUUACUGACUUUAACGAUGCUCUUUUGCAGGAUAUUUUCUUGGAUGUUUCAACUAUGAAGCACUGGAGAAGCUUAUGGGCCUUAGUGAUCUGGCUGCAAGGCACUCACUAAUGCACAAGGGAUUUCGCUCACUCGGCCUGUCAGCGGCUGAAAGCUUGUUUCCACAUUGAGCCUUGGGUUGUGCUUUGUGAUCUUUGUCAGGGCCUCGAAGUUGGUGCUAAUGGACGGAUCACGGAUGAUAACUCAUAUACCAACUUCACUCCAAUAAAUUUUCAAGUAGCUCGAAUACUCCAUACCGAGCAGCUCUCCUAGCGUAAUUCUCACCUCUUGCGAUUUUUUAUGUGUAGGUGUAUCAUGUCCGAGGUUGCAUCAGGAUUCAGGACCAGACACUGAAGACAUCUAACAAGAUUGUCCUCGUCCUUCUGCUCACCAGUCACGCUGCUGCCAUCCGUUCGAGUUCAGACCAUUCUCUGUCAGCUCCAACACUUGGAGUUAAGAUCUUAGGCUCUUAGUCAUCAAUCACAGCAACCAACCAUCCUAGUGCAGCAUCGAACAUCUAGCAUAACAACGCCAUUACGUACGUACAUAGUGGGGAUCACACCACGAGGGGGAGCACCCCCUUUCGCCCCUUUCCUUUCUGUUCGCUUACGACGGAACCGCAUUACGUCUGGAUGCAUUGCAGCAUUGUACGCAUCGAGUUAACGUCUUGUUCUUGGCUCAUCAGAUUUGGAAGGCCCCCAUCGAUCUCAUCCGUGCCCCUCCUGUGGCUCCUGGAGAUGCCAAACAGCCAACCGUGUAAGUGGAAUGCGCGGCUGGCCGGCAAGCAUGCAAUGCAAUGCAACGCACGUAGCGUACGUGCGUCAAAGACUGGUGAAAAGAUGAGACCCGCCCCCGUCCGCACGGUGCGAUUAUGUUCUUCUGAAUGGCACAUCGGCGGCCGGAGGACCACCGGCGCGCCGAGGUGGAGGAGGAUGAACCUGGCCGCGUUCGUGCGUGUGCUGAGCCACAGUUUGCUGCCAAAGUCGUCCUUGUCGGGCACCACAUUGCGUGGCUUUUGACAUUUAUGUGUCACCCUCCCAUUAUUCCCCUCCAAUGGUGGACACGCAGCAUAGGCUCGGGAGCGGGCCAUGCCAUGUUUCCCUUGGAGCCGGGCGUGUCUCCGUGUGCCACUUGCGACAGUAGCCCGGCGGACAUCUGUCUCCGCGGCCCACGGAUUUUGUAAUGUCACUAGCUGAUUGAUUGACCAACAGACCAAGUGAUACGUUGCAUCAACACGUCGGCCGGUGAGCUUCGAAAUGCUGUACACAAAGGAUCAUUAUCUCGGGAAGUUCUGUACUUCUCUACUUCUGCAAGAGUUAUGUAGUACAGCUUUGCUUACUUGCUAAGACAGGUAGUACAGUUUAGUCUGGUGCAUGCACAAUAUGCAGGCAUUAUUACAUCGUCGUGUUAAUUACGUCAUCUGUACAAAGCAAACGAAUAUAGCUACGCCAUAUGCAUUCUGCCACUUGUUCGCUUAUUCCCAUUUUCCAACUUGUGGCUGCGUGGUAGCUCUGCUUGUUGGAGCAUACAGAGAAG
rnacentral:lncRNA from 1 species